GACGAACGCUGGCGGCGUGCUUAACACAUGCAAGUCGAACGGAAAGGCCCUGCUUUUGUGGGGUGCUCGAGUGGCGAACGGGUGAGUAACACGUGAGUAACCUGCCCUUGACUUUGGGAUAACUUCAGGAAACUGGGGCUAAUACCGGAUAGGAGCUCCUGCUGCAUGGUGGGGGUUGGAAAGUUUCGGCGGUUGGGGAUGGACUCGCGGCUUAUCAGCUUGUUGGGGGGGUAGUGGCUUACCAAGGCUUUGAAGGGUAGCCGGCCUGAGAGGGUGACCGGCCACAUGAGGACUGAAAUACGGCACAGGCUCCUACCGGAGGCAGCAGUGGAGAAUAUUGCACACUGGCCGGAAGCCUGAUGCCGCAACGCCGCGUGCGGGAUGACGGCCUUCGGGUUGUAAACCGCUUUCGCCUGUGACGAAGCGUGAGUGCCGGCAAUGGGUAAAGUAGCACCGCCUACCUACGUG
rnacentral:rRNA from 1 species